CCGCAUAAGCCCACGGUACCGCAUGGUACUGAGGGAAAAGGAUUUAUUCGCUUUAGGAUGGACUCGCGUCCAAUUAGCUAGUUGGUGAGGUAACGGCCCACCAAGGCGACGAUUGGUAGCCGGACUGAGAGGUUGAACGGCCACAUUGGGACUGAGACACGGCCCAGACUCCUACGGGAGGCAGCAGUGGGGGAUAUUGCACAAUGGGGGAAACCCUGAUGCAGCGACGCCGCGUGGAGGAAGAAGGUUUUCGGAUUGUAAACUCCUGUCGUUAGGGACGAUAAUGACGGUACCUAACAAGAAAGCACCGGCUAACUACGUGCCAGCAGCCGCGGUAAAACGUAGGGUGCAAGCGUUGUCCGGAAUUACUGGGUGUAAAGGGAGCGCAGGCGGGAAGACAAGUUGGAAGUGAAAACCAUGGGCUCAACCCAUGAAUUGCUUUCAAAACUGUUUUUCUUGAGUAGUGCAGAGGUAGAUGGAAUUCCCGGUGUAGCGGUGGAAUGCGUAGAUAUCGGGAGGAACACCAGUGGCGAAGGCGGUCUACUGGGCACCAACUGACGCUGAGGCUCGAAAGCAUGGGUAGCAAACAGGAUUAGAUACCCUGGUAGUCCAUGCCGU
rnacentral:rRNA from 1 species